CUCCCAGUCGGAAUGACGUCACAACCGGAAAUAGUCCCUAACAACCAACCGCGUGGGGGCUAAAUCGGUCGUUAAGCGCCAUCUCGCCAUGUGUUACAAUGAAGACGUGACCAAAAAGCUCUGCGAAAAAAAGUGAUUUUCAUAUAGUUCAAGAGUGAAAAUAGAGUUUGAAUAUGAGGAAGGUCUUCGUCCAGAUUCACUGAGCAGGUAUAGGGCAAAACUUGAUCUUUGUGGGCAUUAUAUUUGUCCUUACAAGCUUCCAGCAGAUGAGUGGAAAAUGAUCCCAAACAAUCGCCAGACGUGAUAUUUUCAUCUUUUUGGUCAGACCCCAAGGUUGCACUUACUGGAAGCCAUGGAAAACUAUCGUUCCCUGGAAGCUCACACCUUCUUCACAUCUUGUUGGGCCCAGACAGCAUACCAUGUUGUGACUCAGAGUGUAUGGAUACAAGUGCUCAUUUUUUUUUCAGUCCUACAUAUAUGUGUGUUUGAAUUUAAGUGGUCAACUUUUUUUCUCAGUCACACGUUGUGCAAUUGCAUACAAGCGCUCAGUUCUUUUCUCAGUCACACAUUAUGCAAUAUGUGUGUAUGAAUGAAAGUGCUCAGUUUUUUUCUCAGCCAUACAUUGUGCAAUCAAUAUAUUAAUAUAUAUGUGUACAUUAUUAAAAUAAGUGUUCAGUUUUUUCUCAGUGCAAUAAGUGUAUACAAAUGUAAGAGCUUUUUUUUCAUGGGAAACAUUUUCUGUACUGUAUAUCCGAUUGGAAAACAUAAUGCAGUAGCACAUUAUGCAAUGUCUGUUUACGGAUAUCAGUGCUCAUUUUUUCUAUUUUUCAUCAGAAAAUCAGCAUUUUAUUCAAGUAUAAUGCAAUCACACUGUGCAAAAUGUGUGUUAAGAUGUCAGUGCUCAGUGUUACAUUUUUAUUAGAGUAAAAUUGAAUCUGAUGGAUUUACUGUUGUUUCGUGUAUAUUAUCAAAACUUUGUUUGUUUGUUUGUUAAAUGAAGUAGUUUUAAUGAUAAAUAUUUUAUUCAUAUAUCCUUGGUGUAUCUCACGAUUUCCAUCCCGAAUAUAAAUCAUGUCCGGUAUGUUUGAAAUGUGCACUUGGCUUGCAUAUAUCCACGUAAGUAACUGGCGAGGAGAAGAUAGAAUAAAAACAAAUUUGAAAUAGGAACAAUUUG